AUGCUGACAGGAUUAUUCGUUCUAUCCAGGAUUUGUUCACUUCCUGGGGGCAGGUCCAAAUGCCUCGCCCUGCUCCAUCUGAUCGUCCUGCUGCUUUUUCAGAAGAGGACUUGAAAUUCUUGAAGGAGUUGGUAUUUGAAUACGUGUCCUUUAUGGACAUGGACAUUAGAAGGGCUAGUGCUGCCAGACACAAGGAUGAACUUGAGCGCUUGAGUGCGA
rnacentral:lncRNA from 1 species